rnacentral:rRNA from 1 species
UACGUAGGGUGCGAGCGUUAAUCGGAAUUACUGGGCGUAAAGCGUGCGCAGGCGGCGCGUUAAGACAGGUGUGAAAAGCCCCCGAGCUUAACUUGGGAAUUGCGCUUGUGACUGGCGUGCUGGAGUGUGGCAGAGGGGAGGUGGAAUUCCACGUGUAGCAGUGAAAUGCGUAGAGAUGUGGAGGAACACCGAUGGCGAAGGCAGCCUCCUGGGCCAGCACUGACGCUCAUGCACGAAAGCGUGGGGAGCAAACAGG